UACGUAGGGGGCAAGCGUUAUCCGGAUUUACUGGGUGUAAAGGGAGCGUAGACGGCGAUGCAAGCCAGAUGUGAAAGUCCGGGGCUCAACCCCGGGACUGCAUUUGGAACUGUGUGGCUGGAGUGUCGGAGAGGCAAGUGGAAUUCCUAGUGUAGCGGUGAAAUGCGUAGAUAUUAGGAGGAACACCAGUGGCGAAGGCGGCUUGCUGGACGAUGACUGACGUUGAGGCUCGAAAGCGUGGGGAGCAAACAGG
rnacentral:rRNA from 1 species